UACGAAGGGGUGCAAGCGUUACUCGGAAUUACUGGGCGUAAAGCGUGCGUAGGCGGUUUGUUAAGUCUGUCGUGAAAGCCCCGGGCUCAACCUGGGAAUGGCGAUGGAUACUGGCGAGCUAGAGUACGGUAGAGGAGAGUGGAAUUCCCGGUGUAGCAGUGAAAUGCGUAGAGAUCGGGAGGAACAUCAGUUGCGAAGGCGGCUCUCUGGACCAGUACUGACGCUGAGGCACGAAAGCGUGGGGAGCAAACAGG
rnacentral:rRNA from 1 species